UUCCAGAGUUUGGAGAAUAAGCCAAGAGUCUGCUGAUCAUCUGACUUUUGUCCAGUAUAUAUACCACAUGACAAAUGUCCUUAUCAUUUCAGCAAAGUGGGACAAAACUCUUUUAAUAUAUUUUUUUCAUAUAUCAAAUUAGACUUGAAAUCCCAAAGUAGGAUCCAUCUGUUUCCCAAUUGGAGCCCCUGUUGAAGAGGUGGAGUAAUCAUCAUGGAUGUGCACAGCAGGUCAACCUCAACAGAGAGACAAUAUGGGAAGUGUGUGUCUCAAUAUAAACAGGGAUUGGUGAUCAGAGGGCCUACCCAAGUCGUUUGCUCUAAACUUUGAGAUGGUAUAUCCUUCUCCUAAUAUUUUCCAGAUAUUAUCAAAGUUUAGUAUUCUUAAUAUAAUUGCUUAUAACAAUUAUAUUAAGAUGUGGACUUACAUCUUACAUGGAUUUAUGGGUGCUAAUUUAUAUAUAUAAUAUAGGAAUUACUCUUAUCUCUCAGAUAUAAUAGCACAGUGGUUCUUUCCAGGACAUGGUAAAAUUUCCCUCAGUGGAGGAUUGGUUGGCUAUAUUUUAGACACAGAAGUUGUUUUUACAAUUUAUUAUUUGAGAAUCUGAGAUAUUUAUGGAUGAAUACAAACUCCUUAUAUGUUAUGAAUGUGUAUGUAUGGAUAUAAGAUUUUAUUUCUGUUGAAAUCUGAUCAUCUCUCUAUUACUGUUAUUUAAAUUGGGUUUAAUUUCUCAAUAAACCCCAAGACUCUAUAGAGAAGCUAAGAUUAGCAUGGAAGGUGGGUGAGGUUGUUGACUAGUGAGGUGUGGUGGAUGUGGAGCAAAGGUUUUCUUCCCUGUGUCCAGGACAUUCAGGGAGAGUUUUGUGUGCUUGGUACCAUGUCCACAUAGACCACCUGGAGGCCAGGAUCAGAGCUGACAAAUAGAGAAGAGAGAUGGAGACAAUGUCCAGGAAUUGCAACUCAGGAUCAAAAUUUGAAAUGUGCCCAACAAUCCUUUUACAUUUUCUGUGUGUGCUUGUCUGUGGGCAACCAGAGCUCAUCCAAUCUUCUUUGGAAAGAUCACUGUAAAACUUUCAUUUUGACUGUGUUGACCUCUACCUUAUUCAUUUCCCAAUGGGGUUGAAGCCUGUUUCUUUGGUGGUAAAUUUGACAUUGGAUAGUCCAAGUUUCAUGGUCAGUAAUUUUGGUAUGU